GGUACUGGAACCGAUCUCAUUUUGGUUUCCCCUCGUAGAAAACAAGCGACGGACAGAGUGGCGUAGUGCACAGCUGCUUUGGAUCGUUCCAUCUCCAAGCUUUCUUCCAUCCGUCCAUCAGAUCCGCCAUUUUCAUUUCGGAUUUAUCACAAUCCGCCAUUGAAAUCUCUAUGUCCUUCUCCCUUAUUUAAAAAUCCUCGAGUCCUAGUAAAAUUCCAACGAGUGCAUCGAACAGUCUCAUUGAUACGGAGCGACAAACGAGCAAUGUCAUCGUUCCUACACCAGAGGCAGCAUCAGCAGCAGCAGCUUCUGGUGGAUUCCCAACCAAUCUCCCUUCCAUAUUCAACCGUCAAUCACAGGUCCAUCUCUCUUUUCGGCCGUGCCAGCCUUCUCAUCUUGCUGUCCCUUAUGGUUGUUCUCGGCGUUGUUUCGCCGUGGAUUGGACUCCCAGGUCGCCUCUUCUCGGGCGGCACCAGCGGCGGAUCCUCUCUUUCGAGGUGGAAAGAUUACACGCUGGCCGAUGCUGCUGCUUUCGUGGCCAAGAACGGGACCGUUAUCGUAUGCGCAGUUAGUCAUCCGUACCUGCCGUUUCUGAACAACUGGUUGAUCAGCAUUUCCAGGCAGAAGCAUCAGGAGAAGGUGAUGGUCAUCGCCGAGGAUUACGCGACGCUCUAUGAGGUGAAUCGGAAGUGGCCCGGUCAUGCUGUCCUUGUACCGCCUGCGCCCGAUUCACAGACCGCCCAUAAGUUCGGUUCUGAGGGAUUCUUCAAUUUUACAUCUCGCAGGCCUCGCCACAUCUUGCAUAUUUUGGAGCUUGGGUAUAAUGUGAUGUACAAUGAUGUUGAUAUGGUCUGGAUGGCGGAUCCAUUUCCCUAUCUCCAGGGGAAUCAUGAUGUCUACUUCACCGAUGACAUGGCUGCAGUGAAACCCCUGAAUCACUCUCAUGAUUUGCCACCUCCUGGUAAGAAGGGUCGUACUUACAUAUGCAGCUGCAUGAUUUUCCUACGCCCUACAAAUGGAGCGAAACAAGUGAUGAAGAAGUGGAUAGAAGAGCUCCAAGUUCAGCCAUGGUCCAAAAAGACAAAGUCAAAUGACCAGCCUGCCUUCAAUUGGGCUUUAAAUAGAACUGCUGGUCAGGUGGAUCUUUAUCUGCUGCCCCAGGCUGCAUUCCCUUCUGGGGGUUUGUACUUCAAAAACCAGACAUGGGUUCAGGAAACCAAAGGUUCACAUGUCAUCAUACACAAUAAUUACAUCACUGGGUUCGAGAAGAAGAUAAAGCGCUUCCAUGAUUUUGGAUUUUGGUUGGUCGAUGAUUACGCCGGUGAAUCACCACUUGGCAGACUAUAAACAGCAGCAACUGCAUUUGCUAUUUCUCUCUGAGGCAACCACCUGGGUCCACACCAUCUUUUGGAAACUAAAGCUGUUGGUGGUGACUUCUCUGUCAAUAUUUUAUCUGCCUGAAUUGGUGGGUUGCAGUUGCAGAUCAUCGCAAAGGAUGGCAGGUGGGCAUGACCAACUUGGUCGCCUCUCAGCUAACAUCUUUCAAUACGUAAUAUAUCAAGAGGUGCCAUGGAUGUUCUACUGCAAUGAUGAUGAGAUGUUUUUCAAGCAUUAAAGAGGAGGUGAAUCAGGUUAUUUUCAUGUUCUUAGAAGGUCGAUGAGUAGGUUGGCACUGCGUCAUUCAUCUUUCUUUUCUUUAUCUUGAUUUGUGAAUUGAUGAUUCCUUGAUUAAAAUCAGUAAGCAUUGAGAUUGGUCAAAACAUGAUUUUUUCA